UUGCACAGUGAACACCCAGGGAUGUCAGUGUGGCUCUCUCUGGUAUCUUCUACCUGUGCUACAGUGACUCUGGUCGUUUCCUCUGCAGUUGGAGAACUUCGUUUUCCUACAUGUAUUCAGAUGACCAGGACAAAU
ensembl:snoRNA